AAACACUCGUCUCUUUUCAGUUGAAAUGCUUGCCAAAACUGUACUCGCGUUCCUCGGAAUAUCUUGCUUCGUUCUAACAAGCGAAGCAGCCGUAGACCCGCUGUGUGCCGCGUACGGCAGCAACCACACGACCUGCAUCCCGGCCAAGAACUGUCCCGCUGAUGCCAACGGAGGACCGUGCGGAGUUACGGACGCUGACAAGGCUUUCAUCCUUAAAUAUCAUAACGAAUAUCGACAGAAGAUCUCGAGAGGCG